GAGGAACCCUGCGCACGCCUACGCUAUCACUGUUUGUCUACACUGAUGAGUUUAAGAAGGAUGCCUUCUUGCUAUCCACGUACGGCAGCGCGAACAAGACAACGCGAUGAGCACCGACGAGAAGGCACCAUGAAUACAGAGAAGGUGGUCAUGUCCUAUGGAAGCAGAGGCUACACUUUACAAGAAUGUGAAAGUGCAACAGCAGAGUGAUCCAGAACCAUGACGCCUGAUUAAGUACUUGGGAGGCAAGACCGAUGUUGUCCCAAGAGUAUUCAGUCGUGAAU
rnacentral:lncRNA from 1 species